UACAGAGGUCUCAAGCGUUGUUCGGAUUCAUUGGGCGUAAAGGGUGCGUAGGCGGCACAGCAAGUCGGGAGUGAAAGCCCGGGGCUCAACCCCGGAAUGGCUUUCGAAACUGCUGAGCUAGAGUACAGAAGGGGCAACCGGAAUUCCCAGUGUAGCGGUGAAAUGCGUAGAUAUUGGGAAGAACACCGGUGGCGAAGGCGGGUCUCUGGGCCGAUACUGACGCUGAGGAGCGAAAGCGUGGGGAGCGAACAGG
rnacentral:rRNA from 1 species